rnacentral:rRNA from 1 species
AGUGAACGCUGGCGGUAGGCCUAACACAUGCAAGUCGAACGGCAGCACAGUAAGAGCUUGCUCUUACGGGUGGCGAGUGGCGGACGGGUGAGGAAUACAUCGGAAUCUACUUUUUCGUGGGGGAUAACGUAGGGAAACUUACGCUAAUACCGCAUACGACCUACGGGUGAAAGCAGGGGAUCUUCGGACCUUGCGCGAUUGAAUGAGCCGAUGUCGGAUUAGCUAGUUGGCGGGGUAAAGGCCCACCAAGGCGACGAUCCGUAGCUGGUCUGAGAGGAUGAUCGGCCACCCUGGAACUGAGACACGGUCCAGACUCCUACGGGGGGCAGCAGUGGGGAAUAUUGGACAAUGGGCGCAAGCCUGAUCCAGCCAUACCGCGUGGGUGAAGAAGGCCUUCGGGUUGUAAAGCCCUUUUGUUGGGAAAGAAAAGCAGCAGGUUAAUACCCCGCUGUUCUGACGGUACCCAAAGAAUAAGCACCGGCUAACUUCGUG